GCCCAACAAGCCUGUAAUCGGUACGGGUUGUGGGAGCAAGAGCCCGGAGAUGGAUUCUGAGACACGAAUCCAGGCCCUACGGGGUGCAGCAGGCGCGAAAACUUUACAAUGCUGGCAACAGCGAUAAGGGAACCUCGAGUGCCAGGUUACAAAUCUGGCUGUCGAGAUGCCUAAAAAGCAUUUCAUAGCAAGGGCCGGGCAAGACCGGUGCCAGCCGCCGCGGUAACACCGGCGGCUCGAGUGGUAACCGUUAUUAUUGGGUCUAAAGGGUCUGUAGCCGGCCGGAUAAGUCUCUUGAGAAAUCUGGCAGCUUAACUGUCAGGCUUUCAGGAGAUACUGUCUGGCUCGAGGCCGGGAGAGGUGAGAGGUACUUCAGGGGUAGGGGUGAAAUCUUGUAAUCCUUGAAGGACCACCAGUGGCGAAGGCGUCUCACCAGAACGGACCUGACGGCAAGGGACGAAAGCUAGGGGCACGAACCGGAUUAGAUACCCGGGUAGUCCUAGCCGUAAACGAUACUCGCUAGGUGUCGGCCACGGUGCGACCGUUGUCGGUGCCGUAGGGAAGCCGGAAGCGAGC
rnacentral:rRNA from 1 species